ensembl:lncRNA
GUUUUAGUGCUCAUGCCACUAAGGUUGACAACCUACGCCAUCUUCAGUCAUUUCCAUCGUCCUUUCCAAGCAAACUCUCAAACCUGAUAUCUUUCCUGGAUGCAUUUUGAGGAAACAAGAAACCCAAGUCAAUCUAAGUGCAUCUUUGUCUGGACUGUCUUACACACUCCGGUACACUAGAUGGCGAUCUGCUGGUGCAGCAAACAGGAAACACGCAAGCAUUAGACAGAAAAGGCGCGAAACUUGUCUGCGUUUGCGGCUACAGGCACUUGGUUUUCACGCUUUAGGUACCGCCCUUGCUGCCAGUUGGACAGAGGAGACCCAGACAGGGCGCUCAUCCUCCUUAUAGUGUGUUUGGUAAGAAACUGCAGUACCUGUUUGUCACAUUCAACAGGAAGAAUGACGAGCAGAAAUAACACUCCAAGAGACAAUUUUAAGGAAUCAACACACUCCCAGGAUAAGGAAAAUAUUCCACCUCCUCAUCUAAAUACUGCUGCAAAGGACGAAGAGCCUCAUCUGACCCAUUCUUUUGAGUGGAGUUACAGGAAGAACAUCUAUACCCAUACCUGCAAUCAAGCGCAAACUAUUGAGGACUGCCUGAAGAAAAGUCCAAAAUUCAAAGCAGCUGCAGAAAAGCAGAAGGACAAAGAGCUUGUUAUUGUAAGAAGUGCGAAAGCAAUCGCUUCACACUUUCCAUGCAGAGUAAUUAAAAAUGAACGUCUGACUCUGAAGUUUGUGAAAGCUGUGGAGAAGCCAAAGAAACCAGUUAGCGUCUCUGGUUAUCCCUGCAAAAAGAGACAAUCUAACAAGCUUGUGAUAUUUCAUGUCAUAGCACGAGGAGGUAAAAAUGUUGUCAGAAUCCUGAAAAAUCCUGACCUAAGAAAAGAC